CCCGUCCGAGGUGGUGGCGACCAGCCGCCGGUCCGCCAGCAUCGGGGCGACCUGCAGUUCCAGCCGGCGCGGGUGGGACCA
rnacentral:tRNA from 1 species